rnacentral:lncRNA from 1 species
CUGCCUUCUUCCUUGCCUAGCAGUUUUUGGUUUCUCAACUUUCUCUCUAUUUACUUUCCUUGCUGCUGCCUCCAUGCACUUUGGCAUCCGUUGCUGUGACAGGCAAGCAGAAAAACAUGGAACUACAUCAUCAUCAUCAGCACCAUUGUCAGCUGCUAAAUAGAAAAACAAUUGAAUUGAAAUAGCUAUGUUAUAUAGCUUUUGCUAGACUAAUCAAUUUCGUGCAGCUGCAACUACAACUCCAAUCGGAGCCGUCACUUUUUUGAACCAACACUAGCAUUUUACAAAGCUGCAACUGAAACAACCAACUGGAGUACUUUGUACAAACUGACUCCUUAAAUUCACUCCAGCAGCUCCUUUUGAUAGAUUAACCUAUCUCUUAUAUCCUUUUUGUAAAGCUACAACUAGAAUAGCUAGCCUUUUUGUGCAGCUAGCAUGUUUGCAUCAUCUCCUUUCAAAUAGACUGCAGCUAAAAUCUAAGAUGUAUGAAAACUGUUUUCACUAUUUGAAUGAAAUGUGAUGAUUUUCCUUUUGUAUG